GACUGCUCAGGUGGCCUAGUGGUUAGAGCAUCUGCUUCGGAUGUGGAAGGUCAUGGAUUUGAUCCCCAGUUGAGUCA